rnacentral:rRNA from 1 species
GUGCCAGCAGCCGCGGUAAUACGUAGGUGGCAUANCGCGUUGUCCGGAAUUAUUGGGCGUAAAGGGCUCGCAGGCGGUUUCUUAAGUCUGAUGUGAAAGCCCCCGGCUCAACCGGGGAGGGUCAUUGGAAACUGGGGAACUUGAGUGCAGAAGAGGAGAGUGGAAUUCCACGUGUAGCGGUGAAAUGCGUAGAGAUGUGGAGGAACACCAGUGGCGAAGGCGACUCUCUGGUCUGUAACUGACGCUGAGGAGCGAAAGCGUGGGGAGCGAACAGGAUUAGAUACCCUGGUAGUCC